rnacentral:lncRNA from 1 species
AAGCCCAAACAACGCGAGGCCUUGACAGGCCAGAAGACGAUGGCGGUAGGGGAGAUCACGCGAGAGCAUGGCCUCCACCUCUCCUCCCCACCGCCAUCUCCACGUUCUCGCACCGGCGCUGGGGUGCAGGCUUUCAGUGGUCUCAGGGCUACGGCUUGUCGGUGCCUCGCCGCACAGUCCCCUUUGCAUUGAAGGACACGGUCUUACGGUGUAGGAGCAUUUUUGAGGUGCAUUCCUGGAUUUGGAGGCGAACCCCCAAUGGUUACCUCCACAGAGGCUUUGCGAAGGGCGCUCACUGACUUAGGUGAAGAGCGAAGGCUCAAGACUGUGCCGCUUUAUAGUGGCCCCUUGACGUCCAGAAGUUCCCCCCAGCGCCGGUCAUAAGCACUCCCGCCGCCUGGGCCCCGCCCUGCCUGCCAGGCGCCCUCCAGCCUCAGCUCCCGGACGCCCGGCGUGGCCGCUUUCUCGCGUCUUGCUGACCCGGGCCGGGGGCGUGUGCUCCUCCUGCAGCGGACGGAAGAUGCUGGGCCACGCAAGUUUCCCUGGGCUUGGUUAACCACCCCAAAGCCCAUUUCCAGAAGGAAAGGGUGUUGAGGAGGAGGGAUAGAAAGUCGAGAAGAGGGCCGGAGAUGAGAUCUUGCUCUGUCACCCAGACUGGAGUGCAGUGGCACGAUCAUAGCUCACUGCACCCUCAAACUCCUGGACUCAAAUCAUCCUCUACCUCUGCCUCCAUGAGUAACUGGAACUACAGGUUAAUAUUCAUCUGUAGCCUGAGUGACCCCAAAAAGAUGACACUCUUCUGUCCACCAAAACCUUCCAGAGGCUUCCUGUGCUCACUUGAAGUAAAAUCCAAAGUGCUGACUGUGGUUACCAGCUCCCCGGGCUGGCCUGCUGCGGGACGGCUUCUCCACCAGCCUCCCGUUCAAGGCCUCCAUUUCUGCCACUGCGGCGUCUGCAUGGUUCCUGAGCAUCCCAAGCACAUUCCCACCUCAAGGCCUUGGUGCUUGCAGUUCAUCUGCUUCUCUCCUGGUCUAUGCCUGGCUGGUUCUUAUUUCUUUUGAAUUCGGACGAGGUGCACCUCAUGAGAGAGGCCUUCCUUGACCUCCCUCCUCCAUUCCUCUCACAGGCCCCAUCUGACAUGCUUGCCCUCCCCCUCCCCUACCCCCAUCCCCUUGUGAGCCCCAUGAGAGAAGGGCCUCUGUCCUUAGGUAGAUGUGAUUCCCCAGAACCCAGGACAGGACAGCCACACAGGAGGAAACUGACACACUUUUCUUAAAUGAUGGAAUAAAGUACUGACUGUGUUUCAAGCACUGAUGUGGUUUGGCUCUGUGUCUCCACCCAAAUCUCAUCUCCAGUUGUAAUCCC